AGAGUUUGAUCCUGGCUCAGAUUGAACGCUGGCGGCAUGCCUUACACAUGCAAGUCGAACGGUAACAGGUCUUCGGAUGCUGACGAGUGGCGAACGGGUGAGUAAUACAUCGGAACGUGCCCGAUCGUGGGGGAUAACGCAGCGAAAGCUGUGCUAAUACCGCAUACGAUCUACGGAUGAAAGCGGGGGAUCGCAAGACCUCGCGCGGACGGAGCGGCCGAUGGCAGAUUAGGUAGUUGGUGGGAUAAAAGCUUACCAAGCCGACGAUCUGUAGCUGGUCUGAGAGGACGACCAGCCACACUGGGACUGAGACACGGCCCAGACUCCUACGGGAGGCAGCAGUGGGGAAUUUUGGACAAUGGGGGAAACCCUGAUCCAGCCAUGCCGCGUGCAGGAUGAAGGCCUUCGGG
rnacentral:rRNA from 1 species